rnacentral:lncRNA from 1 species
AUUAUUUCGUCAAAUUGAAGACAAUAAUUACAAAAACAGAUGAGAAUGAGAAAGAAAAUGUUCCUCGGUGACUGAAGCUUGUUGAAGGCGUCUUUCUAGCAGGGGAAGGCCGCCAACAUGGACGAAACGAGGGAUUUCAAGGACGCUCCGACUUCAUUUUAAUCGAAGAGGCUGAGAGUGGAGUGGAGGAGUGACACACAGAGGAGAGAAGUUCAUUAUUCUGCUGAAAAGGAAACCAAUGGCUUUCACAGUCGCCAUGGUAACCGGCUUUUCUUUUGCCGUCAGACCUAUGAUAAGGUAAUUCCAACACCAUCCUCAAUCUGUGUUUACGCUCACGCACGCCGCCACAUACUCGCACAUCCGGCCAUUCACCGCUUUGAAUCUGAUUCCCAGCCUGUCUGCUUCCAAACAGGUAAUGUAUUUAUUUUCCUGCACAUUGUCAAGAAGCUGUAAACUCUAUAAAACUCAAGUUGUUUUGAGGAGACAUCAGCAGUUUUUUGGGGGGGGGGGGGGGUGUCCUAUAAAAAACCAC